CCUACGGGGGGCUGCAGUGGGGAAUAUUGCACAAUGGGGGAAACCCUGAUGCAGCAACGCCGCGUGAGUGAAGAAGGAUUUCGGGAUGUAAAGCUCUAUCAGCAGGGAAGAAGAUGACGGUACCUGAAUAAGAAGCCCCGGCUAACGACGUGCCAGCAGCCGCGGUAAUACGUAGGGGGCAAGCGUUAUCCGGAUUUACUGGGUGUAAAGGGAGCGCAGACGGCAGUGGAAGUCUGGAGGGAAAGUCCGGGGCCCAACCCCGGAACUGCUCGGGAAACUGUGCGGCUAGAGUACUGGAGGGGCAGGCGGCCUUCCUAGUGUAGCGGUUACCUGCGUCGAUAUUAGGAGGCACCCCAGUGGCGAUGGCGGCCUGCUGGACCGUACCUGCCGUUGCGGCUCGAUAGCGUGGGGAGCACACCGGAUUAGCUACCCGGGUAGUC
rnacentral:rRNA from 1 species